rnacentral:rRNA from 1 species
UACGUAGGGAGCAAGCGUUGUCCGGAAUCAUUGGGCGUAAAGCGCGCGUAGGUGGCCACAUAAGUCCGUUGUGAAAGUCAAAGGCUCAACCUUUGAAAGCCGAUGGAUACUGUGUGGCUAGAGUACGGAAGAGGCGAGUGGAAUUCCUGGUGUAGCGGUGGAAUGCGCAGAUAUCAGGAGGAACACCGGUGGCGAAGGCGGUUCUCUGGGCAUUACCUGACGCUGAGGAGCGAAAGCAUGGGGAGCGAACAGG